GCAUUAUAUUUAACACAGCACUGCCUGUUGUCUGCAUGAUUCUAGCCACGAAAAUUGGGUGAAGAUGGCAGUAUACCCACUGUGUGUACAGAUAGGUAGAGACCCUAAUUUUCGAGAGCUACCUGCUUUACAAAAUCCUCCUGUAGCCGAGCUUUUAAGAUGUGUACCCACAGAAAUGGUAGGAUAUGCUCCCUUGGUCAAUUCAGGAUGUCUUUCAUUUUUUUUCUUGUGCCACUUUUUUUUUUUUUUUUUUUUUUUGUCAUCUGAAUGAUUACUUAUCAUGAUCAAGGGACUUUAGGCUGAUCAAUGAAGUGUGCACAGAACUGAUGGACGUUCGAGGAGAAAUGCUUCAGGGAUAAGGAAAAAUGUCUGCAGUAGAAGCGAAGCGUUGGGAUGAGCUACAGUCACUGAUAAGUUCAUUUCCAAAUCCAAGGGAAUGUAAGUGGUAAAUUAGUACACACGGCAAACAGAGUCAAUGCGUAAAACCCAGCCAUUGAAAAGAAAGAGAUUUUUAGCAUUGUAGUCAUCACAUGCCUUAAUAGAGUGUCUGCGUACUUUAAAUAUAGAUUUGAAUCACUGCUCUUUUAUCCCUCUAAAUGCCGAUUUCAAAGAAGUCUUUGGGCAUUGUUGACUUUCUGUCCAUAAAGAAAACCCACCCAGCUUCCCCAAGUUACAUCACCUGCACUCACACAUGCAUGCGUGUUUUAAAUGCCCAUGGGAUGUGGAACAAUUAGGCAGAGAUCUGCACUGUGGUCUCUCGUUUUCACUCCACCCCACCCACCCCCUUUUUUCUUCCCUUUUAGAAAAUGUGAUACCUGAUCUCUGGGUCUAGCAGGGCUGAGGAUUUUUUUUUGUAUUUGUAUAACACAGUGUCUGGCCUUCCCCCUGACCUGCUGGUGUAUUUUUGGUCUCAUUAGUAGUCAGGCAGAAGCCUUAGUGCAUCCGGUGCUGGGAGUCAGGGAUGAGACACACGACAGCAGAGAGAAGGAGCGGGCGAGAGGGUAUUAGAAGAGAGGCUUGCCUCCAAGAUAUGGAAGGAAGUGAGAAAUGACAGGACGACGGCAAGCUUUGUAUGGAGGAGCCUGGCAGGGCGGGGGAGCCGUGAGGAGCGCGAAGUGGGUUCUCAGAAGCCCUAGAAGAGCUAAAGGUGAUUAGAGGGGGAUAUUGAUUCCUUACUCUGCCAGAGAUUUAAGCAGGCAUGCGAGGAAUCUGCACCAUGGUUGGCAAAAGGAGACCCAUCGCCUCCUGUAACCAGACACUCGGGCUUUCCAGGAGCCCAGGGAGAGAACCGAGAAGAAAGGGGGCAGUGUGGUCUAGGAAAAUUCAACUUGUCGCUGAUUUGUGCCUGACGCUUGCUGUCCGUCAGCAGCCUCCCUUACAAUCUUUUUUUCCUCUCUCUCCCUUUUUUUCUUGCCUUCUCCUUCUUCACUGAAGCCUAGGGGAGCCAGUAAAGAUUAAAUGUGCUUUCUCAAAGGCAGCCACUUCAUGCUGCUAUGUCGAAAGGGCCAUUAUUAUUAUGUUUUUAACAGUAAAAGAAAAAGGGAGAGAGGUUGAGAGAGAGAGAGAGAGAGAGAGAGAGAGAGAAGCUAGGUAGGAUGAUGACGGACUAGCUUUUCUGAGAGGAAAAGGAAAAGGGAAGGGAGAGAAAAAGGAGAGACCCUGAACUGAACAGAGGAUUGUGCCUGCGAAGAACCUACAGAGCCAUCCAUCCACCUUGCUCAGGCUGGAAUAAAAGAAGAAAAAGAAGGAGGAAAGGAAAGGAAACAGAAGGAAAGAAAAAAAGGGGAAGAAAAAAUUUUUAAAGAGUCAUCUUCCCACCCACUUCCCCUCCCUUUCGUUUCAUUUUUGGAGGCGGCACUAGGAGCCAUCUCCGCAGAGGAAAGCCCAGCUUCCAGGCAGACGCGGGGAAGCGACGAUCUAUCAGGUACAGAGCCCGUAGCUGUCUGCGAAGAUGGAGGGGAAUUGUGCUUCGGAUUCCUCCGAAAUAUUGGCAAACGGCUUCAAAGGAUCCGCGGCGGGAGUGGGGCGGGGGAGAUGCGCCUCCCCGGCUCGCGCCCACCCCUUCCCACUCGCCUCGACCAAGUGACAGCCUGGUGCUGGCUCGGGGUGAUUUGGCCUUGGCUCCAGCCAAGCAGCUGAUGUACAGGAGGCCCUUCGCAGGACUGGCAAAGUGCACGCUAAAGAAAGAAGGAGGAAAUUUUGAAAAGCAGCCCUGGGGAGGGUUCUCAUUCUUCGAAAAACAUUUUUUUUUUUGAAUUUUUAACCGAAUAUUCUCAAAAUUUGAUCAGCCCCAUUCCCUCCCUCCACUCCCACCGAAUCGCCCUUUUUAACCCCCUCUCUCGUCAAAGCAUAAACUACAGAGUUACAGUCUCUAGAUUUGGUGUAUCGCUUCCUGCCCCCGCCUCCCCCUCCCUGCCCAGCUCUCAGUCCUCUAUUGAAACACCUCGCCCAGGCAAGCGCCCUGCAGCUCACAUUUCCCCCCCUGGCCCGGACGGUGCUACUGGAGGCUGCAGCCCGACUCCACUUCCAAUGGUAAGUUGCCUGUUGGAUAAACCUGAAGUUAUUCUUACGGAGCGCACUCUCCCAGAGCGAGGAUCGUGGUGCUCUCACACACUCUCAAGCAAUCCUGUUGCUUGACUGAUUCCUGAACAAGAUGAACAAUGAGCAAGCUCCGUUUUUCUGUCGUGUUGAUGUCCUUUCAGCUGGUCCUAUAGUCCCCCCUCCUCAGGAAUGUCUCCCCAGUGAAAGGACACAGACCACAGAGACUGCUGUCCUGAUGGGCGCUCAAGCCGACUGUGAAGUUGAAACAAAGAAAGCGAUCACCUGAAGACACCUCUCCUGCCAAGUGACACACCCACAUGCUGCACCUUCAGCCAAUAGAAUCUCAGAACAAGAACAAGGCAAGCUUUUCAAGAAACAGAAGCACUUAAGAAUGACGUCUAGAUUUCGAAGGAGCCGAGGACUUUUCCCUUCGUCAUGUGUAUUCCUGUUUGUAUUUAAAUUCUGUGUGACAUUCAUUUUUAAAAAACUUUUUUUCUAGUAUGAAUGAAUAUGCUUAUUAAUGCACCGAUUUUUAAAAUAGGAAGUUGUUCAUGCCGGAAGUAAAUUGAAUGUUAGCUACACACCGAGUUUGACCUUCAGAGUGACUUAAAGAAUAUAAAGUUCUUUUGAAAUAACGAAAUAGUGGGAGGCAAUCCAAAGGAUAAAAUAAUGGUGAGAACUCAGACUGUGGCGUAGAAAUACAAGAUCCCGCUGGCGCCAACCAACCAACCAACCAACCAUUCUUUUUAUCGGGCAAGCUAGGUUCUGUGAGAUGUGGUCAGUGCCUCUGAAGAGUUUAAGUCUAGUGAGGCAGAGGCACAUAAACUUUUGAAAAGAUAAGUAACAAAUCAGGUCAACUGAUAAGAGCAAAACCAAAACAAAGCCAAAGAUAUAAACAAGGAGCUCAGGGGUCACCUUAAGCUGGGCAAACUGGUCUGUUUAGGGAAGAAAGUUCCCAAAGGAGGAAAAUACAAGAUGAAUCUUAAAGGCUGUUAAAGAUUCAGAUAAGUGGAAAGGAAGGAGAAAAUAGAGGCCUUUAGGUGGAUGCAAUAUUGUGAGAAAAGUCAGAGAGGAAAGCAUCUACAUGGUGGUUUUAGGGAAUUAUGAAUAUACAUGUCUUCUGCACUGCAUCCCUGACUUUCAGUGCCAAUGUAUAGAUAUAUAUACGGUGAAGACUUUGCACACACACACUUCCCCCCUCCCUCCCUAGGGGUAGCCUAGAAUUAUAAUCAUAUUUCUUCCAUUAAAGCAACUGAUAGGAAGAUUUGUGAUUUUUCUGUUAGCCUAGUAACAAUGGAUAUCUAUUGAGUUCUCACUACAUGUUAAGCAUUUUCUAUGUUAACUCUCUUAAGCCUCACAACAACCUUGCCACAUAGAUGUUGUUUUUUAUUCCCAUUUUACACAAAGAAAACUGACUUUUAAUGAGGUUAAGUAACUUGCCAAACUGCCACAUACAGAGUUCACAAUCAGAAUUGCGAUUGCAGAGCUCAUGAUCUAACGCGCUAAGUCACAAUAUUGCUACCAACGUUGUAAUAUUACCGCUUCUAUAUUCCUCGAUAUUUUUCUGUGGUAAAUAAAUAGCUAUUUCCCUUAAUUAGCUUCUCAAAUUUUUCAGUUUUCUGGUUAAGCUCACAUGAUGGAAUGUAUUUUCAUGAAAGAAAUUGAAAAAAAUUGGGCAAUAGAGUCUAUCAGCAUUUUAGACCUUUUUUUGGGAGGGGGCCAGACUCUGAUGAAACUGUUCACUUCGGUCAGCAUGAAAUCUCAACUACUUGAGAAUAAAAAUAGGAGGUGGGCAGAGCUUAAAGGUCCUUUUCUACAGAUGUGAUAAAUCCAUAAAGUUUGCGUGACUUACGGAAGAUCACACGUUGAAGUGUAGCAGAGCUCGGUCCGGAAACCAUGCCGCCCUCAGAGGCUCUUGAACUUCUCCACCCUGUCUAAAUGAAGUGUGAGCUUGAAUUUGAUCAGUGAAAACAUUCUAUCUGGGUGAUCAGGGAGCAUUGUACCUAGUAGAUUGCUUCAAUUUUGCACCUCUUUGGCUUCUCACCUCAAUGUGAAAAUUAGCUAGCUACAAACUGACAUCUUUAGUUCCAGAAAUUGUCAAUGGUCCAUCCACAAAGAACACACAAUGGCCCAAGUUACGUGUGCAACGUCUUCAAUGAUAUUCUUAAGUUAUUUGGCAUUCUUAGUUCACCUAAACAAACCAGAUCUUCUAAUGAGCAUUUUCUUAACCAGUUUUAUGGACAGUAUAUAUUUGUAAGAGCUUCUGCAUGAAUAUUUAAACACGACUGUUUCAAUAGUCCUUAUGUUUUUUGAAAAUAUCAAUGGUUAUUUGCUAUUUUAAUUGUUACUAACUCAAGAAUACUUCAGCCAUAAAAAACUAGAACUGAGGAAACCUCACUCUUCUUUACCAGCCCCUUUGCCUUCAGUUGGCAUUUAGUGAUGAUUAAUAAAGUGGUCAGGGGCUUCCCUGGUGGCGCAGUGGUUGAGAGUCCGCCUGCCGAUGCCGGGGACACGGGUUCAUGCCCCGGUCCGGGAAGAUCCCACAUGCUGCGGAACGGCUGGGCCCGUGAGCCAUGGCUGCUGAGCCUGCACGUCCGGAGCCUCUGCUCCGCAACGGGAGAGGCCACAAAAGUGAGAGGCCCGCGUACCGCAAAAAAAAAAGAAAAAGUGAUCAGCUGGAGAACACAGAAGUUCAAAACAUAAUUUUGUCUUGAAGGAGUCAGUUAAUCUGUGUCUACUUAAGGGCGAGCAUCUAGAUGUUUGGAAGGAUCUGAAUAUUUGACUGCUGUAAACUUGCGCUUAGAUAUCUGGCAUUGUCACACUUAGACCUCCUGGUGGCUCAGGUCGUCCUGUUUUCAAAAUGAUGGUCAUUGGCCAUAUCUCACACAGUUCUCAUUAAGUGAACUCAUAAAUAAACAGGUUUUUUUUUUUUUUAAAGCGUAGCCAAGCACAAAAUGUGACUUUGUUGACAUUUUGUGAGACUUUGUCAUAUGUCCCCUGAACCCCCAAUAAAAGCAGUGAUGCAUCAA